ACGCUCGACACCUACGGGAGGCAGCAGUGAGGAAUAUUGGUCAAUGGACGCAAGUCUGAACCAGCCAUGCCGCGUGCAGGAUGACGGCUCUAUGAGUUGUAAACUGCUUUUGUACGAGGGUAAACGCAGAUACGUGUAUCUGUCUGAAAGUAUCGUACGAAUAAGGAUCGGCUAACUCCGUGCCAGAAGCCGCGGUAAUCUGAGGCGGGCUGGCAAGGC
rnacentral:rRNA from 1 species